CCCCUCGUCCUUUGACUCCAUCUUGGAUAUGAUUGGUCUGAUGAGAGAGUACCAAGAGCAUGAUGAUGUACCCAUCUGUAUACACUGCAGUGCUGGCUGUGGGAGGACAGGUGCCAUCUGUGCUAUAGACUACACAUGGAACCUACUAAAGGCUGGGAAGAUUCCAGAAGACUUCAACGUGUUCCGGCUGAUUCAGGAGAUGAGAACACAGAGGCAUUCUGCUGUUCAGACCAAGGAACAGUAUGAGUU